UACGUAGGGUGCAAGCGUUAAUCGGAAUUACUGGGCGUAAAGAGUACGCAGGCGGCUUUGCAAGACAGGUGUGAAAUCCCCGGGCCUAACCUGGUAACUGCAUUUGUGACUGCAUGGCUAGAGUUUGUCAGAGGGGGGUGGAAUUCCACGUGUAGCAGUGAAAUGCGUAGAGAUGUGGAAGAACACCGAUGGCGGAGGCAGCCCCCUGGGAUGAGACUGACGCUCAUGUACGAAAGCGUGGGGAGCAAACAGG
rnacentral:rRNA from 1 species